AGUAUGUGGCUCAAGUUCGAUGCAACGCGAAGAACCUUACCUGGCCUUGACAUGCACGUAGUAGGAGGGUGAAAGCCCGACGAGGUAGCAAUACCAGCGUGCACAGGUGCUGCAUGGCUGUCGUCAGCUCGUGUCGUGAGAUGUUGGGUUAAGUCCCGCACGAGCGCAACCCCUGUGUCCUGUUGCGAUCCGGUCGCGAGAUCGGAGCACUCUGGACAGACUGCCUCGCUUAAACGAGGAGGAAGGUGGGGAUGACGUCAAGUCAGUAUGGCCCUUACGGCCAGGGCUGCACACGUACUACAAUGGCUGGCACAAAGGGAAGCGAGACCGUCAGGUGGAGCAAAUCCCCAAAAACCAGCCCCAGUUCAGAUUGUCGUCUGCAACUCGACGGCAUGAAGUUGGAAUCGCUAGUAAUGGCGCAUCAGCUACGGCGCCGUGAAUACGUUCCCAGGCCUU
rnacentral:rRNA from 1 species